rnacentral:miRNA from 2 species
UGAACCUUGGGAGCGAUCUGAA